rnacentral:rRNA from 1 species
UACGUAGGGCGCAAGCGUUAUCCGGAAUUAUUGGGCGUAAAGAGCUCGUAGGCGGUUUGUCGCGUCUGCCGUGAAAGUCCGGGGCUCAACUCCGGAUCUGCGGUGGGUACGGGCAGACUAGAGUGAUGUAGGGGAGACUGGAAUUCCUGGUGUAGCGGUGAAAUGCGCGGAUAUCAGGAGGAACACCGAUGGCGAAGGCAGGUCUCUGGGCAUUAACUGACGCUGAGGAGCGAAAGCAUGGGGAGCGAACGGG